CAACAACGGAUCUCUUGGUUCUGGCAUCGAUGAAGAACGCAGCGAAAUGCGAUAAGUAAUGUGAAUUGCAGAAUUCAGUGAAUCAUCUGGAUCUUUGAACGCACAUUGCGCCUCCUGGAAAUUCCGGAAGGCAUACCUGUUCGAGCGUCAU
rnacentral:rRNA from 1 species